CAAUAGCGUAUAUUAAUGUUGUUGCAGUUAAAAAGCUCGUAGUUGGAUUUCUGGUGGGAGCGGUUGGUCUGCCCCGCGAGGGGUAGUUACUGAGCCGUAUCCGGCCCUUUUCGGGUUGACCGUGGCUGGCAUUAAUUUGUCGGUGCGGGAGGCCCGUCGUUUACUGUGAACAAAUUAGAGUGUUCAAAGCAGGGUGUUCUUGAAUACAUUAGCAUGGAAUAAUGAGAUAGGACUUUGGUGGUUCUCACUUUAUUGUGGGAUAUUUUGUUGGUUUGCACGCCAAAGUAAUGAUUAAUAGGAGCAGUUGGGGGUAUUCGUAUUCAAUUGUCAGAGGUGAAAUUCUUGGAUUUCUAGAAGACGAACUACUGCGAAAGCAUUUACCAAGGAUGUUUUCAUUAA
rnacentral:rRNA from 1 species